AUUUAUAAGUAACACUCUGCUUACACUUUUGUAGAAGGUGACACUUAAAGUAACACUUUUAACGUAGGUAACAUGACAAAGUAACACUUUUAAAAUAAGUAACGUUUUAUAGUAACAUUAAUUUAUUUAUUUAUUUUUUCUAAAUUUCUCUACGGUUUUCUUGGAAUUAACCUGAUUUUCAUUGACUCAAAAAAAAAAAAAAAAAACUUCAGCCUCUUUUUUCACUCUUCUUCUUUCUCCUCUAUCAAGCUGAUGGUUCGAUGAAGUCCUUAUCGAAGCUCUUGCUCCAUCAUUGAAGCAACUUUCUAAUCUUUUCCUUCAUUGAAGCGACUACAUUCUAAACUCUCUUCGAUCCUCCGCAAAUCUGAGCAUUCCUCUUUAUUGAAGAUUAGAAACGGCUUAAGAGUACUAUGAUCGGCUUCCGAAUCUAGAUGGUUGUUGGGUUUCCUUUUCUUUAACCAACCUGGUUGUAUUAGCUCACCGCCGCUGGCUGACUAUAGUGCCCCCUUGAACCGCGCGAAAAACCUUCAUCUCAUAAUGGAUCAGCGAUUCAUUGGGUUCAGAUUGAAAGUAGGUGUGUUUUCUUUUUAAAUUAAGGCCUAAAAUUUUCAAAUUUGUGAAACUAUCUGGUAAUUUCAUCUGUAAAUUAUUUUAGCUUGAAUAUGUGGGUUUAUUUGAUUUUAAUUUAAGCAUCAAUAAUUUUAUAAGAAUGUCUUCUCCAGUUUCCUCUUCCCCAUUUUUAAAAAUUAGCUUCUGUUUUGUGUACCUGUAUUACUUAUUUGCUGAAAUCAAUCAUGAAUAUCGGUAUAUAUAUUGUUGUAUUGUUGCAAAAUUGGGUGUAUAUUGAUGUAUUGUUGUAAAAUUGGGUGCCAAUAUUAUAUAUCUUAUAUUUUGUUCUUGUUUGCUGCCUGGGAAUAAGUUUGUGCUUUAGUUUGUAAAUAAAUGCGAUGCUUGGAUUAUAUCACAUAUUGAUAGUUGCUGCGAUUUUCUCAUGAAAUGAUCUAGAUGUAGCAAAAUUUUCUGAAGAAUACAGUGGUCAAAAUUCACCUUAUCUAACAAAUUCAGUUUCUUUAUUGACGAAUUUCUUUGAAAAAUUCUGUCAUUUUCUGAAUUUGAGUCGUGGAUUGGUGGUAGACUCCUUCGAAUACUCUGUCUGUGAGCGUGGAACAGCUGCUAAUUUUCUAGACCGUUGGUAUGCUUAUCUUCUGUUCAUUUUUCUCCAUAGUUGAUUAGUUGUAAGCUUUAUAUGGUUUUCUUCAAAUAAUCUUGUAAUGAUCAGAAUUCUCUUACUAAUUUUCUUGUUGGCUUUGCUGAGCAUAACAUGUUGCUUAAGAUUGAGUAUGGAUAGCUUGUUCAAGUAUCUAAUGUAAAAAUAAGCUAUAUUGAAAGUUAACCUAUUUUUUGGCUUAGUUUUUAACUGGUAUUUCUGAUUAUGGAUAUUAGCCUAUUUCAUUGCAGUGAAACUAUGUAUAAUCUAUUGAAGGAUGCAUUUGAGUGAGAAUUUGAACUAUAUUUCUCAUGUAGGAUUGAAAUAAUACCUUGUAAAGUAACUGCGUAUGAUAUUCUAAACUGAAUUUAAAGCCUAUGGGGUAUAGUAUAUUUUCUGAUUAAUGUGAUUACCUUAUCAAAAAACUUAGGUUUUAUUUAAAAGCUAUGAGUGCUAAUGAAGGAUGCAAAUAAAGAAAAGCCAAGUACUUGGCGGGUCUAUCACUGCUUGAUCAUAGUCAUCUCAAAUAUUGGCUCUGAAUUGUGGCAGCAACACUUUUUAUCCUCGUCUCCCCGGCAGCAAAUCACUUUAAUGCCUAAUAGAUUGGUGAAUGGGAUUGCAAAGGAGUUCAUUUUUAAUGUAUUUUCAGGUAUGAGAUGUUUUUUGUACUCUAGAUGCUUUAAAUUUUCAUUUUGAACUAGAUCAAAUAAAAACUAUCCUCGGUAACUACAACUGAAAAAAUUGAAGCUAUGUGUAUACCAACAAUUUAGUGUCUCAUCGAAGAGCUUUAUUCCUGGUUCAUGCUAUGUUUAAUGUGUUAUCUUUCCCUUAGUAAAAAUGAUCAUUUUUCUACCUUUUAGUUAAUUGAAACCACAUUUUCUAGGUGACUAACAUCUAAUUUUGUUGGGUUUUUUUUUUUCUUUUUCAAAUUCAAUAUAUUUUCCAAAAAAUUAUCUCGCUUCUUUAAUUAAGCUGGUAAGCAAAGAAUUAUAGUAACAAUAGGCAUUAAGAAUCUUUGGUUGAUAUUAUAACGUUUUUGUUAUCCUCAAGAAACUAUUGUGAGCUCUCAUGAGGGUAGUUACCAUAAAUUAUGAGAUAAUCAGACUUAGUUAGGUAUGCUAAAGUUAAUGGUGGGGAUUGAAAUACAUUUUUUUUAAAAAGAAAACUUAUUGAUCAAAGGAAACUUAUGCAUCUGGCUCCCCUCGAUCAUCAAUUGGUUUUAUAACUUUAUCUUAUGAAAUAAUGCAAAUAAUAUUCAAGUAAUAUUAAAUUGCUCGUAAUUAAUCAUUUGUUACUCUUGUGCUGCUAUAUUGAAGGGUGAUGAAUGCUUAAGAAAUUUUAGUCUUAAUCAUUCAUUACUUUGCCAAAAUAUAUUAAUUAGUGCUUGAAUUGUUAAUUUGAAAUCAUGUGCUUAUACUACUCCCAAGAUGAAAUUUUCAGUCUCAUUGACUUGAGAGUUUAUUGACAGAUGGCCUGUAAAAAGGUAAAACUCGCAAGAUGAAAUUUUUAUUCUCAUUUUCUGAAAGUUCUUACUACAUCACUAACUUGAUGGCAAUUGCAUGUAUGAGGCAGCUGGAAUAUAAUGGAAUUUGUGUAGAUUUAAAAAAUAUGGAGCCGAUCAUAAAAACCCGAUAAUGCUAGCACAAUUACCAUAUGGGAGGAUGAGUGGUUUGAUAUAUGAUGUAUUCAUACCAAGGAUCAAAUGGAUAAAGAUGAAGGAUUGGGGUAACAAGUGAUAAUGCUAGAAGAAGCACUUACUAUUACUGUUGUUUUGCUGCUGCUACUACUGUUUGUUUUGCUGCUACUACAAUCUGUUGCUGACUCCUACUUUUGUUUGAUGCCACUGAUGUGUGCUAUUGUUGUCUGCUGCUACAUACUGCUGUCUGCUGGUAGCUUCUGUUACUGCUGAUGCGUUCUGCUAGCUAGCUGCUGCUUUAUCAAUGUUGUUUACUGCUAUCACGCUGACUAUUUUUUGAAAUUUGGAAGUUUUUCGUAUUUAUUUCCUCACUUUUUGUUUGGAAUAUUAUAUUGUUUGGCCAAACAUUAAAAUUGGUGUUUGUGGAUUUUUUUGUAAGAUUUAUGAAAUAAUUUCAUUCAAAAUUGUUGUCUAUCAUGUAUGUUAAUAUCUCAUUCAUA